rnacentral:rRNA from 1 species
GGGUUGUGAGGUUAAGCGACUAAGCGUACACGGUGGAUGCCCUGGCAGUCAGAGGCGAUGAAGGACGUGCUAAUCUGCGAUAAGCGUCGGUAAGGUGAUAUGAACCGUUAUAACCGGCGAUUUCCGAAUGGGGAAACCCAGUGUGUUUCGACACACUAUCAUUAACUGAAUCCAUAGGUUAAUGAGGCGAACCGGGGGAACUGAAACAUCUAAGUACCCCGAGGAAAAGAAAUCAACCGAGAUUCCCCCAGUAGCGGCGAGCGAACGGGGAGCAGCCCAGAGCCUGAAUCAGUGUGUGUGUUAGUGGAAGCGUCUGGAAAGGCGCGCGAUACAGGGUGACAGCCCCGUACACAAAAAUGCACAUACUGUGAGCUCGAUGAGUAGGGCGGGACACGUGGUAUCCUGUCUGAAUAUGGGGGGACCAUCCUCCAAGGCUAAAUACUCCUGACUGACCGAUAGUGAACCAGUACCGUGAGGGAAAGGCGAAAAGAACCCCGGCGAGGGGAGUGAAAAAGAACCUGAAACCGUGUACGUACAAGCAGUGGGAGCACGCUUAGGCGUGUGACUGCGUACCUUUUGUAUAAUGGGUCAGCGACUUAUAUUCUGUAGCAAGGUUAACCGAAUAGGGGAGCCGAAGGGAAACCGAGUCUUAACUGGGCGUUAAGUUGCAGGGUAUAGACCCG